rnacentral:rRNA from 1 species
GACGAACGCUGGCGGCGUGCUUAACACAUGCAAGUCGAACGGAAAGGCCCUGCUUUUGUGGGGUGCUCGAGUGGCGAACGGGUGAGUAACACGUGAGUAACCUGCCCUUGACUUUGGGAUAACUUCAGGAAACUGGGGCUAAUACCGGAUAGGAGCUCCUGCUGCAUGGUGGGGGUUGGAAAGUUUCGGCGGUUGGGGAUGGACUCGCGGCUUAUCAGCUUGUUGGUGGGGUAGUGGCUUACCAAGGCUUUGACGGGUAGCCGGCCUGAGAGGGUGGCCGGCCACAGUGGGAGAAAGAUACGGCCCGGACUGCUGCGGGAGGCAGCAGGGGGGAAUGUUGCACAACGGGCGGAAGCCUGAUGGAGCAUCGCCGCGUGGGGGAUGAGGGCCUUCGGGUUGUAAACAACUUACGCCUGUGACGAAGCGUGAGUGACGGUAAUGGGUAAAGAAGCACCGGCUAACUACGUG